rnacentral:rRNA from 1 species
UGGGGAAUAUUGCACAAUGAGGGCAACCCUGAUGCAGCGACGCCGCGUGAACGAAGAAGUUAUUCGUAUCGUAAUGUUCUGUCCUAUGGGACGAUAAUGACAGUACCAUAGAAGAAAGCUCCGUCUAAAUACGUGCCAGCAGCCGCGGUAAUACGUAUGGAGCGAGCGUUGUCCGGAAUGAUUGGGCGUAAAGGGUACGCAGGCGGUUUAAUAAGUCGAAUGUGAAAGAUCGGGGCUCAACCCCGCAAAGCAUUGGAAACUGAUAAACUUGAGUAGUGGAUGGGAGAGAGGAAUUCCAAGUGGAGUGGUGAAAUACGUAGAGAGUAGGAGGAAUAGCAGAAGCGAGGGCGACUUUCUGGACACAAAAAGACACUGAGGUACGAAAGAAUGGGGAGCAAACAAG